CCUACGGGUGGCUGCAGUGGGGAAUAUUGCACAAUGGGGGAAACCCUGAUGCAGCGACGCCGCGUGAAGGAAGAAGUAUUUCGGUAUGUACACUUCUAUCAGCAGGGAAGAAAAUGACGGUACCUGACUAAGAAGCCCCGGCUAACUACGUGCCAGCAGCCGCGGUAAUACGUAGUGGGCAAGCGUUAUCCGGAUUUACUGGGUGUAAAGGGAGCGUAGACGGCGCUGCAAGUCCGGAGUGAAAGCCCAUGGCUUAACCAUGGUACUGCUCUGGAAACUGUAGAGCUUGAGUGCGGGAGGGGCAGGCGGAAUUCCUAGUGUAGCGGUGAAAUGCGUAGAUAUACGGAGGAACACCAGUGGCGAAGGCGGCCUGCUGGACAUUAACUGACGCUGAGGCGCGAAAGCGUGGGGAGCAAACAGGAUUAGAUACCCGAGUAGUC
rnacentral:rRNA from 1 species